rnacentral:rRNA from 1 species
AUACGGAUGGAGCGAGCGUUAAUCGGAAUUACUGGGCGUAAAGCGUACGUAGGCGGUUCGGCAAGUCUGUCGUGAAAUCUCCCGGCUCAACUGGGAGGGGUCGAUGGAAACUGCCGGACUUGAGGGACGUAGAGGUGAGCGGAAUUCCCGGUGUAGUGGUGAAAUGCGUAGAUAUCGGGAGGAACACCAGUGGCGAAAGCGGCUCACUAGGCGUUACCUGACGCUGAGGUACGAAAGCGUGGGGAGCGAACCGGAUUAGAAACCCCAGUAGUCC